GCGUAGUCGAUGGGAAACAGGUUAAUAUUCCUGUACUUGGUGUUACUGCGAAGGGGGGACGGAGAAGGCUAUGUUGGCCGGGCGACGGUUGUCCCGGUUUAAGCGUGUAGGCUGGUUUUCCAGGCAAAUCCGGAAAAUCAAGGCUGAGGCGUGAUGACGAGGCACUACGGUGCUGAAGCGACAAAUGCCCUGCUUCCAGGAAAAGCCUCUAAGCAUCAGGUAACAUCAAAUCGUACCCCAAACCGACACAGGUGGUCAGGUAGAGAAUACCAAGGCGCUUGAGAGAACUCGGGUGAAGGAACUAGGCAAAAUGGUGCCGUAACUUCGGGAGAAGGCACGCUGAUAUGUAGGUGAAGCGACUUGCUCGUGGAGCUGAAAUCAGUCGAAGAUACCAGCUGGCUGCAACUGUUUAUUAAAAACACAGCACUGUGCAAACACGAAAGUGGACGUAUACGGUGUGACGCCUGCCCGGUGCCGGAAGGUUAAUUGAUGGGGUUAGCGGUAACGCGAAGCUCUUGAUCGAAGCCCCGGUAAACGGCGGCCGUAACUAUAACGGUCCUAAGGUAGCGAAAUUCCUUGUCGGGUAAGUUCCGACCUGCACGAAUGGCGUAAUGAUGGCCAGGCUGUCUCCACCCGAGACUCAGUGAAAUUGAACUCGCUGUGAAGAUGCAGUGUACCCGCGGCAAGACGGAAAGACCCCGUGAACCUUUACUAUAGCUUGACACUGAACAUUGAGCCUUGAUGUGUAGGAUAGGUGGGAGGCUUUGAAGUGUGGACGCCAGUCUGCAUGGAGCCGACCUUGAAAUACCACCCUUUAAUGUUUGAUGUUCUAACGUGGGCCCCUUACCGGGGUUGCGGACAGUGUCUGGUGGGUAGUUUGACUGGGGCGGUCUCCUCCUAAAGAGUAACGGAGGAGCACGAAGGUUGGCUAAUCCUGGUCGGACAUCAGGAGGUUAGUGCAAUGGCAUAAGCCAGCUUGACUGCGAGCGUGACGGCGCGAGCAGGUGCGAAAGCAGGUCAUAGUGAUCCGGUGGUUCUGAAUGGAAGGGCCAUCGCUCAACGGAUAAAAGGUACUCCGGGGAUAACAGGCUGAUACCGCCCAAGAGUUCAUAUCGACGGCGGUGUUUGGCACCUCGAUGUCGGCUCAUCACAUCCUGGGGCUGAAGUAGGUCCCAAGGGUAUGGCUGUUCGCCAUUUAAAGUGGUACGCGAGCUGGGUUUAGAACGUCGUGAGACAGUUCGGUCCCUAUCUGCCGUGGGCGCUGGAGAACUGAGGGGGGCUGCUCCUAGUACGAGAGGACCGGAGUGGACGCAUCACUGGUGUUCGGGUUGUCAUGCCAAUGGCACUGCCCGGUAGCUAAAUGCGGAAGAGAUAAGUGCUGAAAGCAUCUAAGCACGAAACUUGCCCCGAGAUGAGUUCUCCCUGACUCCUUGAGAGUCCUGAAGGAACGUUGAAGACGACGACGUUGAUAGGCCGGGUGUGUAAGCGCAGCGAUGCGUUGAGCUAACCGGUACUAAUGAACCGUGAGGCUUAACCUU
rnacentral:rRNA from 1 species